rnacentral:rRNA from 1 species
AUUGAACGCUGGCGGCAUGCCUUACACAUGCAAGUCGAACGGUAACAGGUCUUCGGAUGCUGACGAGUGGCGAACGGGUGAGUAAUACAUCGGAACGUGCCCGAUCGUGGGGGAUAACGGAGCGAAGGCUUUGCUAAUACCGCAUACGAUCUACGGAUGAAAGCAGGGGACCGCAAGGCCUUGCGCGGACGGAGCGGCCGAUGGCAGAUUAGGUAGUUGGUGGGAUAAAAGCUUACCAAGCCGACGAUCUGUAGCUGGUCUGAGAGGACGACCAGCCACACUGGGACUGAGACACGGCCCAGACUCCUACGGGAGGCAGCAGUGGGGAAUUUUGGACAAUGGGCGCAAGCCUGAUCCAGCCAUGCCGCGUGCAGGAUGAAGGCCUUCGGGUUGUAAACUGCUUUUGUACGGAACGAAAAGACUUCUUCUAAUACAGGAGGUCCAUGACGGUACCGUAAGAAUAAGCACCGGCUAACUACGUGCCAGCAGCCGCGGUAAAAC